rnacentral:rRNA from 1 species
ACACUCCUCCGGGAGGCAGCAGUGGGGAAUAUUGGACAAUGGGCGCAAGCCUGAUCCAGCCAUGCCGCGUGAGUGAUGAAGGCCCUAGGGUUGUAAAGCUCUUUCACCGGUGAAGAUAAUGACGGUAACCGGAGAAGAAGCCCCGGCUAACUUCGUGCCAGCAGCCGCGGUAAUACGAAGGGGGCUAGCGUUGUUCGGAUUUACUGGGCGUAAAGCGCACGUAGGCGGACUAUUAAGUCAGGGGUGAAAUCCCGGGGCUCAACCCCGGAACUGCCUUUGAUACUGGUAGUCUUGAGUUCGAGAGAGGUGAGUGGAAUUCCGAGUGUAGAGGUGAAAUUCGUAGAUAUUCGGAGGAACACCAGUGGCGAAGGCGGCUCACUGGCUCGAUACUGACGCUGAGGUGCGAAAGCGUGGGGAGCAAACAGGAUUAGAUACCCCGGUAGUCCCAU